rnacentral:tRNA from 1 species
UAGGAUGAAAUCAUUAGAUAUUUCAUUUACAAUGAAAAUUAGCUUUUUUUUUGCCGUUCUAA